ACAGCAGCCGCCGCGGUAAAACGUAGGGUGCGAGCGUUAAUCGGAAUUACUGGGCGUAAAGCGUGCGCAGGCGGUUCGGAAAGAGAGAUGUGAAAUCCCAGGGCUUAACCUUGGAACUGCAUUUUUAACUACCGGACUAGAGUGUGUCAGAGGGAGGUGGAAUUCCGCGUGUAGCAGUGAAAUGCGUAGAGAUGCGGAGGAACACCGAUGGCGAAGGCAGCCUCCUGGGAUAACACUGACGCUCAUGCACGAAAGCGUGGGGAGCAAACAGGAUUAGAUACCCCCGUAGUCCCUGUCUCUUAUAC
rnacentral:rRNA from 1 species